AUUGAACGCUGGCGGCAGGCCUAACACAUGCAAGUCGAGCGAGCGGCGGACGGGUGAGUAAUGUCUGGGAAACUGCCUGAUGGAGGGGGAUAACUACUGGAAACGGUAGCUAAUACCGCAUACCAUCGGAUGUGCCAAAAUGGGAUUAGCUAGUAGGUGGGGUAACGUCUCACCUAGGCGACGAUCCCUAGCUGGUCUGAGAGGAUUACCAGCCACACUGGAACUGAGACACGGUCCAGACUCCUACGGGAGGCAGCAGUGGGGAAUAUUGCGCAAUGGGCGAAAGCCUGAUGCAGCCAUGCAGCGUGUAUGAAGAAGGCCUUCGGGUUGUAAAGUACUUUCAUCGGGGAGGCGUUACCCGCAGAAGAAGCACCGGCUAACUCCGUGCCAGCAGCCGCGGUAAUAC
rnacentral:rRNA from 1 species